rnacentral:rRNA from 1 species
AGUGAACGCUGGCGGUAGGCCUAACACAUGCAAGUCGAACGGCAGCACAGGAGAGCUUGCUCUCUGGGUGGCGAGUGGCGGACGGGUGAGGAAUACAUCGGAAUCUACUCUGUCGUGGGGGAUAACGUAGGGAAACUUACGCUAAUACCGCAUACGACCUACGUGUGAAAGCAGGCGACCUUCGGGCCUUGCGCGAUAGAAUGAGCCGAUGUCGGAUUAGCUAGUUGGCGGGGUAAAGGCCCACCAAGGCGACGAUCCGUAGCUGGUCUGAGAGGAUGAUCAGCCACCCUGGAACUGAGACACGGUCCAGACUCCUACGGGAGGCAGCAGUGGGGAAUAUUGGACAAUGGGCGCAAGCCUGAUCCAGCCAUACCGCGUGGGUGAAGAAGGCCUUCGGGUUGUAAAGCCCUUUUGUUGGGAAAGAAAUCCAGCUGGCUAAUACCCGGUUGGGAUGACGGUACCCAAAGAAUAAGCACCGGCUAACUUCGUGCCAGCAGCCGCCGCGG